GGCCCCGUGGUGUAGUGGUUCAACAUGCAGCCCUGUCAAGGCUGAGAUCGCCGGUUCGAAUCCGGUCGGGGUCGCCA
rnacentral:tRNA from 1 species